CUUUCCACACCUGAGAACGGCCUCCUGCCCGCUCCACCAUGAGCCCUCUUCUCCAAAUGCCAAGAGGGUGGGAAACCCACAGAAGAACCUGCAGGCUGAUCAUGCCUUUGAGGCAUAUGACCCAAGAACUACAGCGCCGGUAUCAAGCAUGUGCUGGCAAUACAGUCUCAGGCUCACCCAGAUCCCCUAAGUCACAUCAUAACUGCUCUGUGACAAGAUCUCAGGGACUCGAGCACACAUGCAUCAGCGUUUGGGAGGCAGCUACAGCUCACCUGAGAAUACCCUGUAUAAACAAGGCAAGCAGCUUCCACGGCUGUGCCUUGGUCUAACACCACCAUCUUGCCCACCAAAGACCCGGCGUGUGGCCACAGUAUGGAGCAUGGGCGCCUCCAAGUGGCUUAGAGGGGAAAUGUUCAUAGGUGUUGACAUCCCAAUGCCAGCGGUCCCAAUGCUUCCAGAAGGCUACGGAUCUCCAGAUGAGAAGA